GUACUUACCCAGCUGGGGAGACAGCAUGAUCAUGAAGAUGAUUUUCCUGGGGUAGGGCUCACCCAUUGCACUCCAAGUGUACUGACCCCUGUAAUUGCCCCAUAUGAGGGAAACAUGAUUGCAUAAUUUGUGGUAGUAGGGGACUACAUUAGCAUUGUCCCCUG
ensembl:snRNA U1 U1 spliceosomal RNA